rnacentral:misc_RNA from 1 species
GAUGAAGAACGUAGCGAAUUGCGAUACUUGGUGUGAAUUGCAGAAUCCCGUGAACCAUCGAGUCUUUGAACGCAAGUUGCGCCCGAAGCCAUCAGGUUGAGGGCACGUCUGCCUGGGCGUCACAUAUCGUUGCCCAAUGCCUAUUGCAGUGCAAUAGGAAUUUCUAGGGCGAAUGAUGGCUUCCCGUGAGCGUUGUUGCCUCGCGGUUGGUUGAAAAUCGAGUCCUUGGUAGGGUGUGCCAUGGUAGAUGGUGGUCGAGUUAGAACGAUACCGAUCAUGUGCAUGCUCCCCAAAAUAUGGCCUCUAUGACCCACACGCGUCUUUUGACGCUCAUGACGAGACCUCAGGUCAGGCGGGGCUACCCGCUGAAUUUAAGCAUAUCAAUAAGCGGAGGA